CCUACGGGGUGCUGCAGUGGGGAAUAUUGGACAAUGGGCGAAAGCCUGAUCCAGCCAUGCCGCGUGUGUGAAGAAGGCCUUCGGGUUGUAAAGCACUUUCAGUGGGGAAGAAAGCCUUGGGGCUAAUACCCUCGAGGAAGGACAUCACCCACAGAAGAAGCACCGGCUAACUCCGUGCCAGCAGCCGCGGUAAUACGGAGGGUGCGAGCGUUAAUCGGAAUUACUGGGCGUAAAGCGCGCGUAGGCGGUCUGAUAAGCCGGUUGUGAAAGCCCCGGGCUCAACCUGGGAACGGCAUCCGGAACUGUCAGGCUAGAGUGCAGGAGAGGAAGGUAGAAUUCCCGGUGUAGCAGUGAAAUGCGUAGAGAUCGGGAGGAAUACCAGUGGCGAAGGCGGCCUUCUGGACUGACACUGACGCUGAGGUGCGAAAGCGUGGGUAGCAAACAGGAUUAGAUACCCCGGUAGUC
rnacentral:rRNA from 1 species